rnacentral:rRNA from 1 species
CAAUAGCGUAUAUUAAAGUUGUUGCAGUUAAAAAGCUCGUAGUUGGACUUCUGAUGUGGAGGGACGGUCCGCCUCACGGUGAGCACUGAUUCUUCACGUCUUCCUCUCGUAGUCUUUUGGCGCACUUAGUUGGGUGCCUUUAGAAUAUGGGACCUUUACUUUGAAAAAUUAGAGUGUUCAAAGCAGGCAAUCGCUUGAAUACUUUAGCAUGGAAUAAUAGAAUAGGACUUUGGUUCUAUUUUGUUGGUUUCUAGGACCGAAGUAAUGAUUAAUAGGGACAGUUGGGGGCAUUAGUAUUUAAUUGUCAGAGGUGAAAUUCAUUGAUUAAUUAAAGACUAACUAUGCGAAGACAUUGUCCAACGGAAGUGUUUUCUUAUUAAUUACAAGAACGAAAGUUAAGGGGUAGUCAAAGAAUGAUCAGAUACCA